CUUAUUCUUUGUUAGCUGUUAUUGGGCUUUUAAUUUUUUUGUUAUCUGUUAUUGUGAUAAUGUAUUUGCUGUUAACUGUUAUUGAAAAUUGGAAUGUUAGCAUUUUUUUUUGACAGUCAAUAUUCGGUAUAAAUUGAAGAUCAUUGGCCAUUGGGUCUACCACUACUGAUAUGUUUGUCCCGUAUUCAGAGAAGGAUUCCAUUAACAUAUACCCAUCACAGAAGUG
rnacentral:lncRNA from 1 species